UUUGCGAAUGUAAAACAAAAAAGUUCACUAGGGAUGACUUAUUUUUUCUUUUAUUAAUAGCCAAAAAAUAAACAAUAAUGUCAUAAUCAUUUUAAUAAUUUUUCUUUGAGUAAUCGUCAUGGUACGUAGUGAUGUAAUAAAGAUUAAUUAAUAGUCACCAGGAGUUUAGUAUAAUUUAAUAAAGCAAUAAUAAUAAUCGUGCAUUUUUUUCCAGCACCGUACUGAGUCGAGUGCAGAACAGUAACCAGUCGGGUUCUAAUCUUUCCGUGUAAAAUUUGAAUAUUUUUGGUGGCCAACAAUACAAUGAGUCGACUGAAAAAUUCAUAAAAAAAAUUUUAGGAAACUCAACAAAAAUUUUUUAUCCAAUUUUUGGUCUGUUUUUCCCUCCUGGCCCCAUUUUUCCCUCCUUUCGCCUAAUAAUUAUGAUGAGAAGAUAAAACAUGAAUUUUUAUCAAUUAGACACGUUUAGUUUCAAUGAUAUAUAUUCUUAAUGAUAUCAAUUAAUAUCAUUUAGUGACUCGUGUUAAGUACUGCUUCAAAUAGAUAAAUUUUAUAAUAGAGACACGCUCAUAGAAAUUACAUUUUUUAAUAUACACAGCAAAGAAAAAAAAAACACGAAAAACUAAAUAAUUAUUUAUCAUGUUGGCAAUUUAUUUUUUUGUUAGCUGUUUAAUUAGUGUAUCUUUUAAUGCACAAGCUGAAAUAAUUAAAGAUCAUCAGUGCCUGGAAAAUGGAAAUCGUUGUUAUAAACAUCACGAUUGCUGCUCUAAUAAUUGUUCUUCGUUUAAAUUUAAGAACAGUACUUAUUUUCUUUGUGCUCUUUCUACUGAGCCCACUAUGAAGAAAGAAAAAAUAACUACGAAACAGUUUUGUCUGCCUGGUGGGCACAAUUGUCAAACACACUCUGAUUGUUGUUCUCAAAUGUGUAAAAAUAUCGGCUUAACAACAAUGCGAUUGUGCACUGGAGGUCACUAAGGUAAAAUGUCCGGAAGACCAAAUUUAGUUCUGCUUCGUUUAACA